CUACUUAUCUCUUUCGAGAUUUCAAGUUUUAAAUUUCUUCGAGUUUUAGUCAUCUUCCUCACUUUUCUUGAAAAGGUCUUGUUUAUCAAAAAAUCAAGCUCUAUCUUUGUCCAAUGGAUUCCGAGGAUCAACAUCUCUUAGAACGGUCACCAUCUUCCUCCCCUUCUGAUGCACAUGAGGAAGUUCCGACAAACGCCAAUAUAGAAAGGAAAGGUGGUGUGCAUUUCUCCUUUACCGAUGAAGAGGAGGACCACCAAGAAGCCGGACUUAGAAUCCAAAUCGGAAAGAACAUUUUCUAACAUAGUGCCUAAAGAAUUGACGAUAACGACUUCAACGUUAAAGAGAAGUCGGCGGGAGACCGAAACUCUCAUAUUUUCAUCUAUCCCACUCUUAUCAACACCGACGUCCUGCCUAGGAUUUGGACGGACUAUGGAUGGGAGGACCGGAAAUACCUUAUUCUCGAACUUCUAUGGGAGGGCGAGAGACUCACCAGCUAUCACCUUGGAUACUCGUUCAUCCCCACGUACGCGUUCUCUAUGGAGUUCCCUCUUUCCAUCGAUGACAUGGUUGACGAACUCUUGUGUUUGGUGUAGGUUAUGUGUGGCGCACGUCGGCCCUUAGAUUUGGAGGUUGGUCAUGUGUCUCCGCCAUCUAGCUGAAAAAGUUGGCGUUAGCCUCACUUUUCAGCAUCUCCUUCACCUUUACCCCCCAAGAUUUAUCGAGGGGGUGUAAUUAACAUGUCGCAGUGGGGCUCGAAGGCUCUAAUAUCAGACUAUGGGGACGACUUUUACUGUCUGUGUUUCAAACGAUACUUGCCAUCGUGGUGCCUCUCGAAAGAGUUUCCAACAUUGAAGGGUGGUCAUUUGCGAUCCUAUAAGUUUCAACCAACUUCUCGAGGACUUGGAAAUCCAUUGCUAGUAAGUUCGGUGGUAUUCGAGCGUUGUACUACGGGGUGGGACUCGAUAAGAGAGUCCCUUUUCAAUUACAUACCCUAGCUAGCCUCCUCUAUGAGGCCGAUGCCUCAAGGUUAAUUUGGGAACUUCUUAACUAAGUACCUGGGGGAUGGUGCCGACACUUCCAUGGUACCUCCCCUUCCUGUUAUCACCUGAAAUAGGUGAAUCUUCCAAAGGGGAAUAAUACAUGCUAGGGCUGAAGUGGAGGUUCCCCAUGUCAGUCCCAAGUUGCUCAAAAGGAAGUUAUCGAUAGGCCGGUUCGAUCCGAGCCCAUCGUGGUCAAUUUUGAUGAGGAUGCCUCUUGUCUCAUGGUUUUAAGGCCCGAGGAGGUAGUGAUGUUGAUCCCAUGAGAGGGAUUGAUUGUUGGAGAGCCCACUCAUAUUAAAGUGGGGAUGGCAGCUAUGCUUUCCUAAAGUUUAGAGGAUCGAUAACCCCUACCAACCCGCCUGCAGAUUAGAGGGUCCCUUCGACGGAUGGUUCCAAGGCUCGGGUCCCCGGGAGUUCUACGUGCCCACAAACUGGCAAUCAGAGGGUCACUAAUUUUUCUUUACCCAGCGGGGGAGGGGGGAUCUUCGUGAACCCUAGGCCCAUAGCCUCACAACUUGCAAAGUUACUAAACUAUCAACAGUGGGCUCAAGUAGAGUUUAUGAGUGUUGAGGCGCCGAUGAAUCAGAUAUCUUAUGAGACUGCUAAGGUUAGUUAUACCGAUCCUCUUUUUAUACUUGGGAUGUUAGAGAUAUCUUAAUUACUUUAUUAUAUUUUGAAACAACUCACUGCUCUAUCCUCGGGGAACCUAAAAAAGGUUCGAGUCGAUAUGUCCAUGGCCAAGAAUGUGGUGAUAAUGAUAAGAUAUUUAAGAUUGAAAAUGAGAAGCUCCACAAAAGAGAACGGGGAGCGCAAAGCUGAGGAGGCCCUCCUAGCGCGAACGGAAGCAAUAGAGAGAAGUGACGAUUAGAGGAUCAAGAAGUCUUAGCCAGCGAGGCUACCCUCCGAGCUGAGCGGAACAGGUUUUCCAAAAGAAUUCUAACCCUUGAAGUAGAUCUAGCCUCAAAGACGAGCACAGAGGCACGACCGAGGGAGUAUUUCUCUCGGUUAGAGUCUGAGCUUCGGGGCCUAAGAUCUAAAUGGGAGGCAAUUGAGGUGAGGUCUUUAGCCAAUAAACAAGAUCAGAAGUCUGUUCAAGAGGCCUUCGUGGACUUACAUAAGAUGAUGGUUUUCGACCAAGCCUGGGCAGCUGUGGAGACUCUUCUCAUCACCCUUCACGAGGAACAUAUCCGCGAGCUAGACAUUCCCUUUGUGAUUUCUCAACUUGAGCCCGAGAAAAGGGAGCUUCCGGGACUACUUGGUCUUCCUUAUCUUGAUACUCAGGGGAUAAGUAGGAAUUUAGACUAGGGAAGAGCUUAAACCUAAUUCCUCUGGCCCUUCGGCGACAACCAAUAUUGAACCGAACACACCUUCUACUUCCGCUUCCAAGCCCUAGGCCAUAGUUCAGGUCCCCGUAGUUCUCCUUAAAAGUUCUCUUGUACUUCCCUCCCCCCUCCCCCCCUUUUUCUUUAUAAAUAUGUAAAUAC